AAGUCGUAACAAGGUUUCCGUAGGUGAACCUGCGGAAGGAUCAUUACGUAUUUUUAGGCCGGUCUGACCGGUUCUAUUCAACCCUGUUUUUUGCGUACUUUCUUGUUUCCUCGGUAGGCUUGCCUGCCGUUAGGACAUUUUUAACCAUUCAUGUUUUGUACUUCAGCGUCAAAAAAACAAUACAAUUAUAACAACUUUCAACAACGGAUCUCUUGGUUCUG
rnacentral:misc_RNA from 1 species